GAGUUUGAUCGUGGCUCAGGAUGAACGCUGGCGGCGUGCCUAACACAUGCAAGUCGAGCGAAGCACUUUAAUUCGAUUCUUCGGAUGAAGAUUUUUGUGACUGAGCGGCGGACGGGUGAGUAACGCGUGGGGCAACCUGCCUUACACAGGGGGAUAACAGUUAGAAAUGACUGCUAAUACCGCAUAAGACCGCAGUACCGCAUGGUACAGCGGUAAAAACUCCGGUGGUGUAAGAUGGGCCCGCGUCUGAUUAGGUAGUUGGCGGGGUAACGGCCCACCAAGCCGACGAUCAGUAGCCGACCUGAGAGGGUGACCGGCCACAUUGGGACUGAGACACGGCCCAGACUCCUACGGGAGGCAGCAGUGGGGAAUAUUGCACAAUGGGGAAACCCUGAUGCAGCGACGCCGCGUGAGCGAUGAAGUAUUUCGGUAUGUAAAGCUCUAUCAGCAGGGAAGAAAAUGACGGUACCUGACUAAGAAGCCCCGGCUAACUACGUGCCAGCCG
rnacentral:rRNA from 1 species